AGUUCCUUGGGUUACAAGAGGCUGGAGCUGGCUCCUGGCCAGUGGAGACCUCUUCUAUGAUUCCAGUCUCUGUCAUCAAAAGUCAUUACUUUUUGUACAAACACAGCACCCCUGCCCUACCCAGCCCUCCCUGGAAGCAUUGCAGGAUUCCUGGGAGCACAGUUUGCUAACUCCAGCCCUGGGAACUCUACAGACUCGGAGAUAGUUUCUACAAGAUGGUGCUGAUCUGAUGCACAGAGAAGGGGAGGGGAGAUGAAGGCCUGGAGGAUGAUGGGCUGAACUUGGGCUGGCAUCAAAUCUUUGAAACCUGAGGGGGCCAGAGACCUGGAAGCAUGUGCUGUGUGUCUUCUUAGGAUAAACAUCUUUUGGCAACUUGUAAGGUAAGGCUUCCCUUGGAAUAUCAA